UGAGUACGAGCUGCUACGGCAGCGAAGUGGGUGAUGUCAAGCUUCCAAGAAAAGCCCUAUACCCGUUAAGGCAUGAUGGCCUGUACCCGAAACCGACACAGGUGGGGUGGUAGAGAAUACCGAGGGGCGCGAGAUAACUCUCUCUGAGGAACUCGCCAAAAUGGCCCCGUAACUUCGGGAGAAGGGGUGCCACCGCAAGGUGGUCGCAGUGAAGAGGCCCAGGCGACUGUUUACCAAAAACACAGGUCUCCGCUAAGUCGCAAGACGAUGUAUGGGGGCUGACGCCUGCCCAGUGCCGGAAGGUUAAGGAAGCUGGUCAGCGUAAGCGAAGCUAGCGACUGAAGCCCCGGUGAACGGCGGCCGUAACUAUAACGGUCCUAAGGUAGCGAAAUUCCUUGUCGGGUAAGUUCCGACCCGCACUAAAGGCGUAACGAUCUGGGCGCUGUCUCGGAGAGAGGCUCGGCGAAAUAGAAUUGUCUGUGAAGAUGCGGACUACGUGCACCCGGACAGAAAGACCCUAUGAAGCUUUACUGUAGCUUGGUAUUGUGCCCGGGCUCUGAAUGCGCAGGAUAGGUGGGAGGCUUUGAUCCAUUGCUUGUGGGUGAUGGUGAGCCAACGGUGAGAUACCACUCUUUCAGAGCUAGGGUUCUAACGGUCACCCGUCAUCCGGGGACCGGACAGUAUCAGGUGGGCAGUUUGACUGGGGCGGUCGCCUCCUAAAAGGUAACGGAGGCGCGCAAAGGUUUGCUCAGGCUGGUUGGAAAUCAGCCGACGAGUGUAAAAGCAGAAGCAAGCUUGACUGUGAGACCUACAAGUCGAACAGGGACGAAAGUCGGCUUUAGUGAUCCGACGGUUCUGAGUGGAAGGGCCGUCGCUCAACGGAUAAAAGUUACUCCAAGGAUAACAGGCUGAUCUCCCCCAAGAGUUCACAUCGACGGGGAGGUUUGGCACCUCGAUGUCGGCUCAUCGCAACCUGGGGCUGAAGUCGGUCCCAAGGGUUGGGCUGUUCGCCCAUUAAAGCGGUACGCGAGCUGGGUUCAGAACGUCGUGAGACAGUUCGGUCCAUAUCCGGUGCAUGCGCAGGAAUAUUGAGAGGAUUUCUCCCUAGUACGAGAGGACCGGGAGGAACGCACCUCUGGUGUGCCAGUUAUCGUGCCAACGGUAAACGCUGGGUAGCCAUGUGCGGAGAGGAUAACCGCUGAAAGCAUCUAAGUGGGAAGCCCACCUCAAGAUGAGUAUUCCCAUGGCGUUAGCCAGUAAGGUCACGGGCAGAACACCCGUUGAUAGGCUCUACGUGGAAGCCGGGUAACCGGUGAAGCGGAGAAGUACUAAUAGACCGAGGGCUUGAGC
rnacentral:rRNA from 1 species